CGGUGCCUGCGCUGGCGUCGGUGGGGUUCGCCGCCGCCGGGCUGGGCGCGGCGUUCGGCGCGGCGGGCGUCGGC
rnacentral:tRNA from 1 species